CGGGGAUACCCCUGCGUGACGCAGCGGAGCGCGGCGGGGCGGCGGCGGUGACCUCACGGCGGCGGCUCGGGGCCUCCCCCCGGCGGCUGAGUAAGCGCCGGGAGGAGCGAGGAGGCCGGGCGGGGGGAUCCCCUUUGAUGGCGCUCCGGCUCGGGCCGGCGGCGCUUUCCGCGCCGUCAUCUCCUCUCCGGCUGCCGGGAAGAGGCCGCGCCCCGCCGACGCCGAACGGCGGGACCGGGGGUCCCGGCAGCGCCCCGCUCACACCCGCGCGCUCGUCCGCUGCGCGGCUCGGCCGCCUCCCCGAGCCGUCUCCCACGGCGCGCAAAUAGCGUCAUCCGGGGAGGCUAAAAAAAACACCCGAUCCACCCCAAAGCGACGACGAGAGAGCUUCAGAAUAACCCGCCGGGCGCUAUUUCGGGCGGCGCUGCGCGGGGAGCUGGAAGCGGGGGAACGGAGGCGAGCGGCCGCCGAUGCGCGGGGCCGAGCGCUUCCCGCGGGGAGCGGGGCCCGCCGCCCAGCGGGGAUUUAUUGCAGCAGAGGUCAGGGCCCGUGCGCUGCGUGCUCUGCGGGCAGUCGGAAGGAAAUCCUUCGUGCGAGGAGCUCCCGGCAGCGGGACGAGGCGUGGGCAGAGGGAGAUAAGGGCUGGGAAGAAGCGGCCGAGGGCUUGCCUCCCGCUUCUCUGCGAUACGUUUGGCCAUAAGCACAAGUACUCCGAUCAAAAAUAAAUCGACUCCAGCUGCCGUCAGUGCGUGGCAUCGGCGGUGGCACAGCGGUGCUGUUUAGAAGGCCAUCCGGUCCAACGUCCGAAAUCCAAGUGCGCCCCUCCGCAUCACAUUCAAAGCUCCCUCCCUCCAGGAAGCCAGCCGCUCCUCGGCCUGCAUGCUGCUUUCUAGGAAAACCCCACCAGAGGAUGUCACACAACAGCUUGCACGGAACACAACACCACCGUGGCCAAAGACUUUUCCGUGUCUGGGGCGGAGGGGUGAGGGUGUACAUCAUAGAAUGGCUUGGGUUGGAAGGGACCUCGAUCAUUAGUUCCAACCUCCCAGCUGUGGGCAGGGCUGCCAACCACUAAAUCAGGCGCUAGGUUGCCCAGGACCCCAUCCAGCUUGGUCUUGAACACCUCCAGGGAUGGGGAGAGCCAAACGGCAUUCCCCAGCUCCCAGAACCCGCCAUGAUCCCCGUGUUGUGCUGGGUGGCAUCUCACUCAUCCCUUUGAAGUGGUGAAAGCACUUUCAGGCUGGCGCUUCAGGCUGUCUGCUGGAGCGGAGGAGUUCUGUGCAUCCAUUCCUGCUCCAAGGAUG
ensembl:lncRNA